UACGUAGGGGGCUAGCGUUGUCCGGAAUCAUUGGGCGUAAAGAGCGUGUAGGCGGCCCGGUAAGUCCGCUGUGAAAGUCGGGGGCUCAACCCUCGAAUGCCGGUGGAUACUGGCGGGCUAGAGUGCGGAAGAGGCGAGUGGAAUUCCUGGUGUAGCGGUGAAAUGCGCAGAUAUCAGGAGGAACACCAAUUGCGAAGGCAGCUCGCUGGGACGUAACUGACGCUGAGACGCGAAAGCGUGGGGAGCAAACAGG
rnacentral:rRNA from 1 species